CCGCGCAUCUCUCCUCUGCAUCCGCGCACGGGGACGCCGUUUCCUUUCAUUCUUUCUUUCCGCGUUCCCAUUCUGGAACAGUCGCUGUUGGUGCGCGGAGCCCCACGGGCAGACACGACCGCGGGUUCUCCUCCAACCCUCAGCUCCAUCACUACAAGUGGCUUUGCCAUGCCAUGGGCACAGGCACCCACUCAACCCGAGAAGCAGCCCAGAACCACGGCUUUGGCUGCAGCAGCCUCUGCUUUGCUGGGCUGCAGGAAGAAGUGAAAGCCUCUCUGUUAGCUGCAGAUGUGCAUAUGAAUGUGAAGCAUUUGCCUAAUAAAUAGCUUCCUAAAGGGUGAUUAA